rnacentral:rRNA from 1 species
UACGUAGGGGGCAAGCGUUGUCCGGAAUCAUUGGGCGUAAAGAGCGUGUAGGCGGUUCGAUAAGUCUGCUGUGAAAGUCCAGGGCUCAACCCUGGGAUGCCGGUGGAUACUGUCGGGCUAGAGUACGGAAGAGGCGAGUGGAAUUCCCGGUGUAGCGGUGAAAUGCGCAGAUAUCGGGAGGAACACCUAUUGCGAAGGCAGCUCGCUGGGACGUCACUGACGCUGAGACGCGAAAGUGUGGGGAGCAAACAGG